rnacentral:lncRNA from 1 species
AAAAACUUACGGGCCCCGUACGGGGUGUCGAACGCAAGUUGCGUUAGCACCCACAAGGUACAAACCACGAUGGUCAACUUCCAAUUAGCUGCCAUCGCUAAUCGGGACUAAGAACUUAUAGAAACAAUUAAGGGGGAGUUUUGGGGCGAGGCCCCGGGCGCGAAGCGCCAUUCGGGGGCCCGAGCCCCCGGGGUUCACUGCUGUCAGUCAGUCAGUGGCUUACAUAUCUCGCCCCGCAAAAAAUAGCGUUUGAAUGCUAUAUCCAUUCUAUUCGGAAUGCCAAAGAAGACACUCCAGAUAAAUCGGAGCGCGACAAAGAUAGCUUUCCAUGGCUCCGAGUUUGACAUAAACUUACAUAUCUCGCUCCGCAAAAGAUUGAAUGUAGAAGCUAUAUCCAUACUACAUCCCCCUGCCAAAGGAGACAUUCCAGAUAAAUGGAGCGCGACAAAGAUAGCUUUCCAUGGCUCCGAGUUUGACAUAAAGUUACAUAUGUCGCUCCGCAAAAGAUUGAAUGUAGAAGCUAUAUCCAUACUACAUCCACCUGCCAAAGGAGAAAUUCCAGAUAAAUCGGAGCGCGACAAAGAUAGCUGCACCGGGGCCGAGCCCCUUUUCGGCUUUGAGAAGCCGCCCCCCUAGUCUUUUAGGGCCAACUCAGUCUUAAAGGCCCUUAAACGGCUAAAUUGGGGCAACAUUUCUGGUGUUGUGGCAUACCUGUGUAGUUGAAUGUGAACCCUGGCCACCAAGCACAUAGGAAAGGAAUGUUGAAUAAGUUGAUACUAUGGUGUGGCACGACAGUAGUCGCGUACAGCAGGGAAUGCACCGCAGAUGUUGCGUGUUGGAAGAAUCAGCGGCCCUCACUGUCGUAUGUUAGGUAUCACACGUGCCAGACGUGCCAUGCCAAGCUGGUGCAGUGCAGUGCACGGCCCGCUGGCCCGCUUGCUCUACACUUCGUGAGUCUGGAGGCCCCCCAGGUAACAACCACGCACAAUGCCACGCGCAACAGCAGCUCUCACGGGUCUAAGAGUCUGGUUUUCAUUUUUUUCAUUUUCCCUCCGAAAGGAACUCUCCUUGACGCGCACCGGGAAGCAGGAACUGGCAAGAAAGCGUGCCAAAGGGUUGCGGAAUGAUGGCCGGGACAGCGGGUUCCUUUCAGCCAAUCGUGUAGCCAAUGACGUAGCACGUAGGCGUUAAGUAACUCGUAGAACUCCAGUUGAUUUCAAUCCGCAGCAGCACGCACUUCAUCGUGUAAUGCACCCUCAGAGAGAGACCGAUGCGAGGUGACUUCGUUCAGUUGCAUGAAAGAGAAUGUUGUCGGAGGGGUCUUUUAUUUGUUAAGAAGUUUGUGUGUCCAGCUGGCAGAUGAGGGAGUAGAGGCUCUCGCGCGAGGCCCUACCCGGCGGGCGUUUCACAGCUUUCGUUGGGCAGAACACGGCUUACGUCGUCCAGUAAGUUUGACUUUACACACUUCUCGUUAAAUAUACCGGCGGCCCAUCCGUCUGUUGGCUCGCUUGGCCGUAAGGGCUGUUGAAUGAAGCUCGUUUCAUGAGAGGGCUGUUGAAUGAAGCUCGUUUCAUGAGACAGAUAUUUG